AUUUAUAUUUACUUAUUCUACUUUAGUAACAAAUUAUUGAAAAUUCAUCAAAGGAAAAAUGAAUUCCAAAACUUUCCCUUACUGUAAAGCUGCAUCCCUUCAUAAGAUUGAUGGUACCUGUAUUGAAGACCUGUCAUACUAUGUUAACUCUGUGUUAAGAUUUUACAGUAAGUUAUCAGAACUAAGGUUAAUGUGUUUUAUAAUGAAUUGUUACAGGAUGUUUAAUGUACUUCUGGGUCAGACUCGGUGCAUUCAGAUGUACUAGUGCUCACUGAGUUCCAUCACGUACCCAGUGUUGUGUAGGCAGGUGUAGAACCUUACUGACUAGUCACAGGUUGACAUAUCUUGUACAGGUGUGUAUAGGCCUGACUUGUGCUGUUGCCCAGCAUUGCUUUUUGAAUACUGCCAAUUUUGUGUUUUACUGUUUAGGAUUUUUAAUGCUUUAUGUGUGUGUGAGGGUAUUUAUAUAAUUCCCCUCACCCACACAAACACUCCUCCAUAGCCUAGGAGACUGGCAAGUGCUGCUACCGACUGUUGACUGGCCUCUUGUGUUCUGUGCUGUGGCUGGCUGUCCUAUCAGCAGACUCAGUAAAGUAAUACAUAUACUCACAACUCUAAUCCUUCAUCUUGUCUCACAUUUUCUGCUAUCAUUGUAUCAGGCUACUUUUUGCUUCGUUUUGGAAUUUAACUGUCCAUCAACAAACUUUAUUUUCUGUAAUUAUUAUUAAUAAUAAUAAUAAUGAAAUAAAAUAGGAAUUACAAGCGUAUCAGCAUGAUCUGUUGUAUAAAUGUUACAAAAUGUUACCACAGCUGUUACUUGGGUGCGUUGUACAUGUGAAGGCUAUUCAUGUGUACUUCAGUGUGUCCUUAGGAAGAUGUUGAAGAAUUACAGUUCAUUUGGGGGUCUUGGAAUAAAUCCUUUCUCACCUGCCAUUGGAAAUGACUAUGAAAUAAUUAAAAAUUAAUUGCUAGUGUGCACCGUUUGAUUAAAAAUUCUAUUUUAAGUGUGAUCUAUUUAAGACAUUUUUUUGUACUUGUAAACAGAAAUGAGAUUUUUUCAGUCGCAAAUAUGAUAGCUUAAAUUUACCUUGGUUUGUAAAGGUAUGAAAAAAGAAAAAAAAAUUGAAAAAGAAAUUAAAUGGUGAAGGAAAUGUUUAAGAAGAAAACCUGCUUAUACAUCAACUCUAUACAAAGAGACCUUUCAUUGGAAAAAUAAUAUUGCACCUGGUGAUCUGACGUGUGUCUUCAUCACCUGUAAAGAGCUGCAAUAUGGUUAUUGAGUUUACAGUCAUCGUAAUCUUCACUUUAGGACACUUAUAUCUGCUGGGAUAUCUGUUUGCUUUAUCAGUAGUCUUUACGUUUGAACUCUGAUGUUGUGUUGUAAUUUUUGUGUGUGAUUUUUUUUACUGUGAAUUGUGUAUAAACUUGUCUUGUUUUGUAAGCUGGGAAUACGGUUAGUGUUCUCCUCUGUCUCAACACGUAAUUAUAGUCAUAUUUUCUUGACUGUUUGUUAUACAAUGAGCUGUUACUUUUCUGUUUCUGCAGCUUGCCCCCAGUAAAUUGGGCUUAUUUUAUCACUUUUUCUCUAUGAAAACAAUUUACAGGACAUACAUUCAUGUUAGUUUAUCUUGUUAUUAUCUUAAUCUGUUUUCCUUUUUUUGUUUUACAGUGAUGCUUUUGCCUUUGUUCAAGCUGUCCCUUUGUAAUACUGUAUUGUCCUGUUUUCUUUCCAGAUUUUUACCCUACUCUAUAUGUACCAAUAUCUACAUGUAUCCCCACCUAAAAAAGUUGCUACUUGGGAAUAUUCCAUUUAAUCUUAAUAUCAUAUUUAUUUUAAUUCCAUUGGUUUGUACAUAUUUCAUUAUCAUUGUCACUAUGGCAGAAUGUAUUUAUUUCUUCAUAAUUAAUAGUUUUUGACCUGUAGAGAGCAGACUUUUAUCUUGGAAGGGCUAUAUAUAGUUAAAUACUAUCAGCAAAUUUGGCCUUGUUCAAUGUCAGAAGACAAGGUAAAGUGAACAUUAUUUUGCUAUGAGUUUCAAAGCUUUUAUUUCAGUAUGAGAAUAUUGUAUUUGGAUCAUACAUUGAUUUUUUGGUUUGCAAUAGUUGACCUUUUCCCUGUGUUUGCCAUGUGUAAUCUUGAGAUGUUUGCUGAGUACCGGUACUAGUACUGCAGCAGAUGCUUGACUUGUACAGGUACUAGUACUGCGGCAGGUGCUUGACUUGUCUGUGUUAUUUCUCUACCCUGGGGAUGGGAAUUUCUGUGGUCUGUGGAGUGAGAUUGUAACUUGUGAACUGUGAGCUUUUCCUCAGGAAUAAACAGUAAAAUCAUUUAUGAUUUCUCUGUAUUUUGUUCUGAUCAUGAAGAUCUGUUUCAUUGCAAUUUUAGCUGCAUCAGGCGUGUUAAUUAUAAAGCAUCUUAGAUCAGAUUGCAUUCAGAUUUUUAACCUUCAGUGUGUCCCUGCUGCAUUUUGAAAUUGUACUUACAAUUUGUGUUUAAAGAAAUUGUAGACGGAAUUAUGUGCUGUUCUUAAAUUCAGCCACUGGGGAAAAGCAGUGUCUAAAAUAUGUGAGGUAAACCUCAAACUUGAGCCAUAUGGUAUAGCUCUUUCCGGUCGACUGGUGCGUGAUGUUUUUCUUGGUCCUCAGUUGUCAGUCAAGUCCGUCUCAGACUGAUGAUUUCCAAGAUACAUUGGCACCAGCUGAUGGUAUUGUUUUUGAUAGUCUUGGUCAACAAUUGUACAGUUUCGCCAAAUAAAUAUGACAUUUUUUUAAAGGAAAUCUUCAAACUUAA